ACCUGGCACGCCGAGGUGGUACUCCGCUGUCCGCGCGUCCUCUUGCCGGGUUUCCUGGUGUGUAGAUCCCGGCGCGCCCCUCCCCUCUCGGCCAUGGGGGUCCCCAAGAGGAAGGCCGCGGGCGGCCAGGACAGCACGGCUCUCCGCGCGGGCGCAGCCAAGCGGGCCCGCUCCGAAGAGCUCACGGGCGUGCGCUUCAAGGCUGAGCUGCGGGGUCCGCAGGGCGCGGAGCCGGCCUUGGAAGCAUUUGUCGCUGCUGCCAAGAAGCUACCGAGGGAAGACGUGUAUGAUGUUGUGGAAGGGUACAUAAAGAUUUCGGUUGAAUGUGCAGAGAUUUUCCAGCUCCUGAGCGGGGAGAAGCGGCCGGAAAGUGAAACGCUAUUAAUAUUUCAAGUUUUUGAGGCCAUACUAUUGCGGACAGCGAGCGACCUUUCCCAUUUUCAUGUUGUGGGAACCAACAUCGUGAAAAAGCUGCUGAACAGCCACAUGAAGCUCAUCUGUGAGUCCCUGUAUGCCUCGGGCUACAGGAUGGCUCGAGCCUGUCUCAACCUGAUGGCCGCCAUGGUGACCCAGGGUCCUGAGGCCGCCAGGGACGUCUGCAGCCAUUUUGAUUUGAAUAAAAAGACCUUGUACACCCUGGCGACCAAGAGGGAUUCAAAGGGUGUGCACGACGUCCGGCUGGCCUACAUUCAGUUCGCCCUCUCCUUUCUGAUCGCCGGCGAUGACAGCACGAUAGCACAGGUGCUGGAGUUGAAAGAAUUUAUUCCUUGCAUUUUUAGCUCGGGCAUAAAGGAAGACAGGAUUUCCACCGUCAAUAUUUUGUUGUCCACGCUGAAAGCAAAGGUAGUUCACAAUAAAAAUAUCACAAAAACCCAGAAGGUGCGUUUCUUUACGGGGCAGUUGUUGAACCAUAUAGCAGCUCUCUACAGCUGGAAUGGGAUUGUUGACGUGAACCUGGAACAUGGCAAGACUUCUUCUGAGGACUCAGGGAAGAUCCUGGUGAGGGAGCUUGUUCACACCUUCCUGAUGGAUCUUUGCUGUUCGCUCAAGCAUGGGAUUAAUUUUUACGACGCAUCUUUCGGUACCAUCGGCAGAGGCGGGAACCUGACCCUCCUGCACUUACUGUUGGGUUUGAAAACUGCAGCAGACGACGAGCUGGUGGCCGAGCUGGUGGUGAACAUCCUCAAAGUGUGCCCGGACUUGCUGAACAAGUACUUCAAGGAAGUAACAUUUUCCUUUCUGCCAAGAGCGAAGUCCACUUGGUCAAAUAACAUCAAACUACUGAACAAGAUCUAUGAAGCCCAGCCAGACGUUUCCAGGGCCUUUCAGACCAGAGAGUUCAUCCCCUUGCCUCGGCUCCUGGCAAUGGUGAUGGUGACCACCGUGCCCCUGGUGUGCAAUAAGACGAUGUUCACCCAGGCGUUAAAUUUGGACAGCAUAUCAGUGAAGCACACAGCCUUAUCCCUUGUUUCCGUCAUUUUGAAAAGAGCAUUAAAAACGAUCGAGCACUGCCUGAAUAAAGAGACGUGGCAGGAAUCAGGCGUGUACACGGCCGCGGCGAUAGAAGAGUUUGUGCGCCUCUUCAGAGAAGCCCUGAGCAAGGUCUUACCGGACCUGAACACCAUCGUGUGGGUCUGGCAGUCACUUCGAAAGCAGGAGACAAAACAGGAUGAUGAGAAAGGAAAGAAAAGGGGCAUCCAGACUCUUGCUGCCUGCGUGGCUCCCCAGUGCGAUGAUGCGGAAACCAUUCUUCUGAAGGCUGUUCUGCUCCAGGUCAUAUGCCUGUACCAGAAGGUGGUCCCACACGUGGUCCUGCAGUACAACUUCGACUUCAGCAAGCUCCUGAAAGGAGUCAUCUCCGAGCAGGGCCUUCGAGAGGAGGUGCCUCCCCUUCUGCAGCACCACAUCCUGAAGGUGGCUCUGGAGCUGCCCGCCAGCAAGUUCUUGUGGUUAAAGGCACAGGAAGGCCCAGAGGCAGAAAUUAUUGGAGGAGAACGAUCUGUGUUUUACUUGCUGAUGAAAAUGUUCGUGACCAGUAGCCAUCUACAGCUCAAGUCAUCCACCAAACUUCUGAUCACAAAGAUUCUUCGGGACACGGGGGUGUUUGAGCACACCUGGAAGGAGCUGGAGCUGUGGCUGGAGCACUUACAUGACACCGUGGAAGAGAAGAGAGAAACCGUGAUUCAGUUUUUGGAACGCGUUUUACUGACGUUGGUGGCGAAUCCCUAUUCCUACACAGACAAAGCAUCUGACUUUGUCCAGGAAGCCAGCACACUGCAGGCCGCGGGGACGAAGCAGGAGGCUGAUGAUGUCAGCAUUCCGGUCUCCCACAUCGAUGAUGUUCUUGACAUGGUGGACGUCCUGGUGGAGGACAGCGAAGGCUUAGAUGAGGAAAUUGGAUUCUUACUGAACGAAGACAUGAUCCUGCUCACGUUCCCCUUCAGUGCGGUGGUCCCUGCGGCCCUGGAAGCUAGGAAUAAGUUGCUCCUUGGGACGGAAAGUGAAACAGGAGAGAGCAUCGUGGCUUAUAUGACGGCGGUGCUGACAGACCUUCUCCACACCCAGAGGGACCCGCUGGCUCUGUGUCUGCUGCUUCAGGCUUAUGACAAGUUGGAGCCUCCGGUGCCACCCUGCUGCCACCAGCUCUCUCGGUUCCACACGUACUACAGCCGCUGGAUCCCAGAGCCAGUCCGCGAGGCCUUGCCCUUUCAGACGCCGGGCAGUCUCGCCCCCCAGGGUCCUCCGGCCUCCUCCUUCUCCGCCCUGUUGCAGAGGGCCUACGAGAGCGAGGGCGCGCUCCUGGACGAGCAGGUUCAGGCGCGGCUGCAGGCCGCCCUCCCGCACCUCCCGGUGCACCAGGUCCUGCGCUCGGCGAAGCACCUGCUGCUCUACAUCAGGAGCACCGUGGAGACCUUUGGCCAGCUGGGCCGAAGCGCAGGGCCCCCCGUCCUGCGGCUCCUCUUGGACCUCCUCAGGCGCCUGGUCGUCCACUGUGUGCAGCUGGACGCGCAGAACCGGCAGAAAUGCGAGUCCGCCCGGGCUGAAUCCGACCUCUUUUUGGACGUGGAGUCCGUGGCCUCGCUGGCGCUGGCCAGCGACAAGACGCUGGAGGAGGUGCUGGUGGCCAUCCUCAGACAUCCCACGCUGGAGGGCUGGUACCUGGCCCUGGAGCGACGGGCCCUCCCUCCGCACGCCCUCAGCCCCAUCCUCGUGAAGCUCCUGGCGGCCCAGCUCAGUGCGGGGGUCCUGCAGCUGCUGCUGGCGAGCGCCCCGAUCCUCCGGAGCAUCCGUCAGCUGGGCCUCCUGGCCGGGUACUCGGAGGCCAUCACCCGGAGCGUGUUGAACGAGCUGCAGAACAGGAGGGCGGGCCGGGCCGCGUCUCGGGCAGAGACCCUCCCGCAGCUGGAGGCCCUGCGGGAGCUGCAUCCGUACAUGGAGGGCGCCCAGCUCCGUGAGGUCACCCUGGCUUUGCUGAGCCUGCCCGAGGCCCAGCUGGUGGCCCCGGGACCCCUGAAGUCCCCCGGGAAGGAGAGACACCUGAACGCUCUCGGCAAGACCCUGGUCCAGCUGUUGACCCGCAGCCCCCAGGAUCAGCUGCAGAGCAGCGAGCUCCUUUGGGCCUCUGAGUUUGUGAAAGGCCUGGGGGCUUUGCUCCCCACGUUGGCUGUGGACGAGCUGGACGCCGUGUUUCUCCACACUCUACGGAGAGAGCCCGUGCUGGUCCCCGUGGUCGGGGUCGACGUGCUGGACUACUGCCUGGCCCGGCGGACGCAGGCGGCCCUGAGCACCGCCGCCCUACUCGUGCGGCUGAGCUCCACCCACCUGCUGCGGUUUGAGCUGUGGUGCGGGCGGCCCGGCUCGGGACUCUGCCUCCAGGAAGGCCUCGACGACUUCCUCCCCCUCGUCCACGUGUACCUCCGGUGCAGGACGUGGGGAUGCUUCACACGCCCGGCGGGAGUGUCCUCUGCUGUCAUUCCCGUCUUGAGGAAAGCUCUGUGGAGGCAGCUACAGACCAGGCUUCUCAGUGCGGAUGGGCCCCCAGGGUCUGGGCUGCAUCACGAGGUCCUGGCCCAGCUGGUCCCGUUUGCAAGAGCCAAGGACCUUGGUAUCCUCAUGGACCAUUUGCCUAGCCUGCUUCAGACCCCAGGCAGGCACGAGAGCUGGAGCGUGGCCGACUCUGUGUCUGCAGUCCUGGACGGGUCGGCAGAAGAGCUGCGUGCCUGGAGAAGGACUCUGUUGGCGUCCUGUGUAAAAUGGCUGGUCGUGUCUUUCAUUGGUGACCAGCAAGGCCAGGACGGCACCCAGGAUCAGGAGAGGCAGAUGUUGCUGAGAUUUAGUGAGCUGUUGAAUUUCCUUAAUGAAGUGGAUCCUGGAGAUUGGCAGAAAUUUGUGAAGACUGGACUCAAAUUUCGGUAUCAGGACCACAUGUUUUUAAAGGCCCUCCAUGCUGCCAUACAACGCCUGUACCUUCCGGAAAACCCCGUGUGCACGCAGCUCACCCAGCUUCCGGCGAUCCACAUGAUGCUCACGCAGCAUUCUCUGUUUUUGCCGACUCUACUCAAGUCUGAAGAAGAGGAAAACCCAGACAGUCAAGUAAAAGAAGCGCUGGUGGAUCUGAUGUCAGUGGUGGUAAAGCUGUGUCCCUCUGUCUGUGAAAGCAGUCACUUUUCAGUGCUCCUUGGGGCCUAUGGCGCCACUCUCAGUGUCCUGGACCAGAAGAUUCUGCUUCUCCUCCGGGCGUAUGAACAGAACGACCUCAGCCUUGUGAACUUCAGAGUGCUGCUGUGGGGCCCAGUGGCUGUGGAGCAUCACAAGACGUGCCGGAGUCUGGGCAAGUCGCUGUGGCAGCAGCCGAGCGUCGGCGACAUCCUCCGCCUGCUGGAUCGGGACCGGAUGAUGAAGACCAUCCUCCACUUCCCCCAGAACCGGAGGCUGCUGCCCCCUGAGGAUGGACAGGAACUGAUCUUCAAAGACAGGAGCACAGUGGAUCUAGAUGGCCUUUAUGACCCCUGCUUUCUCCUGCAUCUCUUCAGUGAAUUGACCAGGCCAGAAUUUGUGGUAGAUUGUCGAAAAUUUUUGGACUCCAAUUCUCUGGGCCUAACCGUCGCGGCUCUCAGCAGCUAUGACCCUCAGAUGCGAGCUGCGGCCUACUACGUCCUGGCGGCCUACUACUCGCAGCUGGAGGGGGCACGGUUCCGAGAGCAGCCCCAGCUACUUUACCUGUUGGAUGUAGUCCGGAAUGGGAUCCGAACUCAGAACAUGAGACUCACCUUUACCUUGACUCUCUUCAUUGCCAAAGCAGCCCUGCAGAUUUUGAAACCAGAGGAACACAUGUACCUGAAGAUCAGCAAGUUCCUGCUGUCACACGAGUACUUGAAUAUGAACAAGGUUCCAGGCUUCUACCAGUUCUUCUUCAGCUCAGACUUUGAGCAAAAGACGGAACAGGAAUGGGUGUUCGGGAUCCUGCGGCAGGGGAUGCGGGACAAACACUGCUAUGAGCUCUAUGCCCGGCGAGGGGUCUUCCACACCAUCCUGGCCUUCUUCAGCAGCCCCCUGUGUGACGACGAGGCACAGAUUUGGAUUCUGGAAAUUCUACAGAACGCUGCCCGGGAUGCCCAGUCUGCCUACGAGAUCCUACGGGACUAUAGCCUUUUAACGUGGGUUUUACACAUCCUUGAGAGCAAGUUUCUGGAGACCCAGCUCCUGUCCAACAUAAUCUCCUUGCUGCACACACUGUGGGUGACCAACCUGGGGGACAAGGGAGUGGAGUCUGAGGGCCCGCCUCCUCGCAAGCCAGGGUCCCAGGAGCCCCCGAAGCUGCUCGCCCUGCACCUGGUCAACGAGUUCCUGUAUGUUCUCAUUGUGCUCACAAAGCACCUGAGGCCGACCUUGGCCCCCGCCCAGCUGACCAGCUUCUUCGGGGCGCUCGAGUCCGUGCUGAGGUACCGGGCCACCGUCGUGCAGGCCUUCAAGGACAUGAACCGCUUCACAGUGAACGAGACAGUGCUGUCCACCAAGGAUGUCCUCGUCCUCCUGCACAAGUGGAGCCUCAUCGAGAGAGAUGCCAAGCUCCAGGACGACCUGAGAGCAGCCACUGAGAAAUACCAAGUCAAGGAGCUGCUGAAAAUGUGCAAGGAUAAGAACAAGCCCGCCAUGCCAGGCCGAGCUAAAGGCCCGUGGGGCCGAAAGAGGAGGCCUGGGGAGGCGGAGGAGACGGCCGACCCUGAGCCGCAGGCAUCCACCUUGGAGACGUGCAAGGGCCUCCUGAGGUCCAUACUGACCCACUGGGGGCCCGCGUUCCCCAGCCCUGACUGCGCUCGGGGCCCCGUGGACGGGGCUGCCCCUGAGAGCGAGGCCCCGGGCCUCGCGUGUGCCGCCGCCUCCCUGGCGGUCGGCUGGGUGCUGCGGUCGGUGGCCGAGCACCCGCCCGGCAGGGCAGAGGCUUUGGGACUCCUUGGCUGGCUGAAGAGCCACAUCUUGCCACAGCCGGUGGUCGUGGCAGAGCUUCUCGGGGACCGUGCUGUGAGGAGUAGCAUCUUCAGGCUGUACAGCCAGUCCUGCAGCGCCGAGCAGCUGGCGGGCCCCGAGCAGAGCGUGGCCUGCCUCUUCAACACGGUCAUGCUGCAGCUGGCGGCCCAGGGCCCGGCGGGGAGCGCCUUCCGCCCGGCGGUCGAGACCCUCUGCCUCUCGUCUCUGAAGGAGAAGGACGAAGCCACUCGAGCCACCGCAGCGUUCCUGGUGUCUCUGUACAUUAAGGACGUCUGGCUGGGGGCUCAGCAGCCAGACACCCUCCUAACCCACAUCCAGAUGAUCCGUGACGCCACAGAGGACGCGCCAAAGGGUGACGAGGAGGCUGUCGUCGUGCUUUGCAAGGACAUGGCCGCCUUGGUCCCCAACGCUUGACGCCCUGCCCUCGGGCGCCUUCUGGCACCAGGUUCUAGAAGGUACCUCUUGGGGCUAUAAAUCUGGCCAAAUUUCACGUGAGUGGUAAACACUAGAAGAAAAGGACGGAGGUCUGCCUUUGCUCAGAAGCUGGCCCGGCCUCCUCCCGUGACCAGAGGGAACCGGAAGUGACUUGAACAUGGAUGUGACGAUGAGGGACAUGUCCGGGGGAUGGCUGAGCAAUGAGCUGGAAGGAAGCUGCUUUCUGAGGAUCUCAUGGACCAGACCCACCACGCUGUCCUGCAGACUUUUAGGAGUGAAACUCAGCCUUCCAAGGUUUAAGCGGCUGCCCCAGGCGAUCUUCCAGAAGCUUUGCCUUUUUCUCACCUUAAAGCAUCCCUGGCUCCUGGCUCCAGUCCCAGCAUCUUUCUGUCUUUGAUGUGAACCUCUGCACAAGUGAAGCUUUCUGAUCUGUUUGACUGGGUUGGAGAUCCAGCCCAGAGGAACUGGCGAGGAGAGAAAGGUGCAUUUGUCAGCAAAGAGGCUCGCCUGCUCUCUGUGGUGUGACCUCUGUCCUUCCUCACCCGGACUCACGCUUACCUUGCCCCACCUUCAAAGCCAGGUCAACAGAGCCUCCCUGAGACACCCUGACACCGCCUUCUGCUGACCAUUACAGAUCACAAGAGUGACAUCAUCAUAGCUGCAGCACAGCGUGCAGGUGAUGGAGAUUUCUGCUUUUGCAUUUUGGGGAUUUUUUUUUUAAGUGAACUUUGAAUUCAAAUACUGUGGACACACAACAGGGGAAGAAGUUUUUUUUCUUCCACUACUUGUAAUAGCAAAAUCCUGGAACCACUCUCAGUGUUCAAAACCGCACAUUUUUAGAACGUCGUGCAGUUAUUUACAAAACUUUGUGAGAGAAUCUUUCACAACACAGGAAAACAACAUAUUGUGAAGUCAAUAAGGGCAAAGUAUAAAAAAGCACACACAGCCAGAUCCUACCUGAAAUCUACAGGGGAGACGGGAUGUUCACAGUGGACUCUGUAGAAAGGCGGUGCUAUGGAUCGAAUGUGUCCCCCCACCUCCCGAUGCAGAAGCCCUGAUCUCCAGAUUGGUGGUAGUCGGAGCCCCUCUCCAUUCACAUCCACCAAGGAAAGGCCAUGUGAGCCCAACAGCAAGAAAGGACGUCCUCACCAGACAGUGACUCUUCUGCCACCUUGACCUUGGACUCCCAGCCUCCAUCACGGUGAGAAAUGAAUAUCUGUUGAAGCUCCGCAGUCUAUGAUACUUUGUUAUAGCUGCCUGAGUAGACUAAAAUAGGCAUUGACUACUUGCAAUCUGGUUUGGGUUUGCUUACCUCCGAGGGAUUUCCUUUAGAGACGGUAGAUGGUCCCCCACAGCCCUCACUCUGUCUAGGAGGGCAGCCGGUGCCCUGCCCUCCAGUGGAACUGUGAAGAGGCCGCUCAAGGGCACUCUGCACGUGUCCUUUGCAGUUAGUGGGGCACAGUGGACUGGAGUCUGAUGAUGUGUGCUCGAGAACAUCUUAAAAGCAAGAGACUGGGCCAUCAGUGUCAGCAGAGUGGAAGGAGCCAGCCUCCGGCCGUUGAGGGGCAAAGCUGUGUCCCCGAGGGCCUCAGGGGAGGGUGCGGGCCGAGUGCCAGCCCAGAGCUGGCCCAAGGGUCACGUGCAUGAGCACAGCCUGAAGGGGAGUCGGGCCUCUCACAGAGCAGGUCCAGGAGGAAGUUGGCCUCAGAGCACAGGGUCCCGAGGAUCGUCCUACGAGGCCAGCAGGAGAGACCACUGCCUGUGGUGGGAGAUCUCUUGCAAAGCCGCCGCCAGGAGAGAAGGAGCCAGCUUGCAUCAAGGACGCCCCCGCCUGGAUCAGUCCCAGUCAAGUUGGAGGGCAGGGAGGCCAGUGGGGAGGCCAGUGCAAGAGUUCAGCCAAGAAGUAACGACGGCUACAGAGGAGAAUCGCUUCCCCACCCUCAGGUCAUGGGACUGGUGACCGUCAUCCCAGGGAAUGCACAAAGGACACCCGUCACACGGGCUGGUAUAAGGAGGGGCGGCGAAAUCGACAGGAGCAGAGUCCCCGAGCCAAGUAGUGGGCCCCCCUUUGUGGACACGGCUGACGUACAUCGAUGUCCUCCUCACCCUCCAGGGCCGCCUGUGCGGGUGUGUCUGUUGUGCUGACUGGCUGCCGUCCGAAUCAGAAUCUGAGCCGCCUCACUGGCAAACCCCCUCGCCCUUUCUGCCUCUCACCCCACGCCAUCCCUGACACUCCAGCGAAGAUGUGUCGCCAAAUAGGAUGGGGCAGGUGGCUGGGGAGGAGGAGCUUGCUGAGGAAAGAAGGAGGAAGCGCUCCUGCCCCCAAGCCAGGGAAAGAGGAAGUUCUCGCUUUGAAUGAAGUUUGAAGGCGGUUUGGUUUUAAGUAUUUUUGAAAUUGAUUUCAUCGGCUUAGAUCUUUGUUUGGGUAACUAGACUGGCCGGUAGACAUUUUUUGGUUUAAGUUUGUUUAUUCAUUUUGAGAGAGAGCGAGAAUGACAACGAGCCGGGAGGGGCAGAGAGAGGGGGACGGAGGAUCUGAAGCAGCCCUACACUGACAGCAGAGAGCCCGAUGCUGGGCUGGAACUCACGAACCCUGAGAUCCUGGCCUGAGCGGAAGUCAGACGCUCAACCAAGCGAGCCACCCAGGUGCC